rnacentral:tRNA from 1 species
AUUACUUUGGCAGAAUAGUGUAAUGAGUUUAGAAUUCAUAAAUGUAUAAAUUAUACAAGUAAUA